UAGCUCAGUUGGUAGAGCAGUUGACUUUUAAUCAAUUGGUCGCAGGUUCGAAUCCUGCACGACCCACCAAUUUCAGCAUUUAACCCAGAUGCUGAACGUGAAGGAUAACGUUGCGACAGCAACGGCCCGUAGGGCGAGGCGAAGUCGAGUCAUCCUGCACGACCCACCA
rnacentral:sRNA from 2 species